rnacentral:rRNA from 1 species
UACGGGGGGAGCAAGCGUUGUUCGGAUUUACUGGGCGUAAAGGGCGCGUAGGCGGCUACCGCAAGUCGACUGUGAAAUCUCCGGGCUUAACCCGGAAAGGUCAGCCGAUACUGCGGGGCUAGAGUGCAGAAGGGGCAACUGGAAUUCUCGGUGUAGCGGUGAAAUGCGUAGAUAUCGAGAGGAACACCUGCGGCGAAGGCGGGUUGCUGGGCUGACACUGACGCUGAUGUGCGAAAGCUAGGGGAGCGAACGGG